UCAGGUUUGUUUUAGUUUUGAAUCGUUCUUAGGUGAAAGGAAUGAUUAAUUGUGGUUUACGACCCAUCAAACUAUUUUCAAAAAACGAUGCGAAAUCAAAAAUUUCUCUUUCUAUUUCUUCUAACUCGGUUAAGUUCAGUUAUCGUGGUUCAAACUUGGUUCGUGCCUGACGAGUACUGGCAAAGUCUUGAAGUUUCUCACAAAUUAAGUUUUGGCUAUGGGUAUCUAACUUGGGAAUGGUUCGAAGGUAUAAGGUCAAUAAUCUAUCCUGCAGUGUUUUUUAUUCCAUAUAAGAUUUUGGCAUACUUAUGCUUAGAUUCCCGGCAAGCACUGAUUUAUGUUCCCAGAGUCAUUCAGGCAUUAUUCAGUGCAUGGGCAGAAUGGGACUUCAUGAAAGCAACCAAAAAUAUUAUAAAUGGGUCCCAAGUAUCAUGGUUUAUAUUACUCCAACUGGGGAACUAUUUUCUUUACUAUGUCACAUCACGCACUUUGGCCAACACAGUAGAAAUGAAUUUGAUCCUGUUAGGCAUCUCAUAUUUUCUCAACCAGUGUAAAGGUUCAUUUCUACUGUGUGUAAUGAUUUCGUGUUACAUGCGACCUACAUCGGCUCCCGUAUGGCUGCCUUUUCUAUUGUGUUUCUGCCAGCAAGAGAAGCAUUGGAUUUUGUCUAAAAAUUUUCUUAAGGUUAUGCUUAAAUGUUCAGUAGUUCUAGGUGCCGUACUUGGACUCGACUCAUGGUGGUAUGGCAAACUAGUUCUUGUGCCUGUUCAGUUUUUACUGUUCAACUUAGUGAAUGACUUCUCUGAGUUUUAUGGGCAACAUCCAUGGCACUGGUAUUUUACAAAUGCCAUACCAUCAUUGAUGGGACCAACCCUCAUCCCAUUAAUGUUCAUAUUUAGUAAUAAAAAAACCUUAAACUCCAUUGAAAGCAAGGUCAUUACAGUUCAACUAUCUGCUCUUCUUUACAUUUUGUGCCACAGUUUCGUGGGUCAUAAAGAAAUUAGAUUCCUAACUCCAAUAAUUCCGCUGCUUAAUUUUCUAGCAGCGAUCAAACUACCAAAUUUAAGAUGCCGGAAAAGUUUUCUCAUCCUGUUCUGUACUUGGAAUAUUUCUUUGAUAUGGUAUUUAAGCGUGAGGCAUCAACGUGGCGUGUUGGAUGCAACCAAUUUUAUUGGAUCGUUCGUCAAGCCAGAGGAUGAAGUAUUGUAUUUAAUGCCGUGCCAUUCUACGCCACUAUACAGCCAUGUACACGUUAACGCAUCCCUGCAGUUCCUGACCUGCCCACCAAAUUUGCAUAACCUAAAGAAUUAUAGUGACGAAGCCGACAGAUUCUAUGAGAAUCCCCCGAAAUGGCUGGUCGAAAAACCGUCUUGGGCCCUUGCGAAAUACGUGGUCAUUUUUGAUACCUUGUUCAAUACUAUUUCAUCACAUCUUGACUCCAACGACUACCACCUUAUUGGAAAUUUCUUCCACGCGGACAUGGACCAGGGACGUGUAGGACGCCGUGUUUUUAUUUUUCAAAAAGAAAAAAAGUCAGUUCAAUAGCUAAUGUACUGAACAAUGCAUUGUCAUUAAAACCGCGAAGAACAUAAUUAACCGGGGAAUGAAUGGUGAAUAUACGUAACUAUGGAACUCAAGGUACAUGAUGCAUGCAACUGGCAUCCCGGAUGUCCAUGUUUCGCAUUUUAAGAACGCCACAGUUUCAGGCUUCUGUUGAUAAACUUCUUUAAGAUUGAAUUUAGAGUUUGGCCGGCUUAGCUAUUUGUAUUUAAUUACCAAAAGAGGUACCCACGAGAAAAAAAUAUUUCAGAUAUAUUGCUGGUAAACUUCAAGGCUAUAUACUUUCUGGCGGGAAAAAUGGAUCCAUACUAAUAUCGCGCAACAACCAAAAUAUACUGAAGCUUG